GCGGAGGAAAAGAAACCAACAGGGAUUGCCUCAGUAACGGCGAGUGAAGCGGCAACAGCUCAAAUUUGAAAUCUGGCUCCUUCGGGGCCCGAGUUGUAAUUUGCAGAGGAUGCUUCGGGUACGGGUGCCUUCCGAGUUCCCUGGAACGGGACGCCAUAGAGGGUGAGAGCCCCGUCUGGUAGGACACCCAGCCCGUGUGAAGCUCCCUCGACGAGUCGAGUAGUUUGGGAAUGCUGCUCUAACGGGAGGUAUACUCCUUCCAAGGCUAAAUACCGGCUGGAGACCGAUAGCGCACAAGUAGAGUGAUCGAAAGAUGAAAAGCACUUUGAAAAGAGAGUCAAAUAGCACGUGAAAUUGUUAAAAGGGAAGCGCUCGCUACCAGACUUGGGUUCGGCGGUUCAACCGGGGCCACGCCCCGGGGCACUCCGCCGGCCCAGGCCAGCAUCAGCUCUCCGUCGGGGGCAAAGGCGUCGGGAAUGUGGCUCUCCUUCGGGGGAGUGUUAUAGCCCGGCGUGUCAUACCCUUCGGGGGGCUGAGGUACGCGCUUCUGCAAGGAUGCUGGCGUAAUGGUAGCUAGUGACCCGUCUUGAAACACGGACCAAGGAGUCAACCUUAUGUGCGAGUGCCCGGGCGUAAAACCCCAGCGCGGAAUGAAAGUGAACGUAGGUGAGAGCUUCGGCGCAUCACCGACCGAUCCUGAUGUCCUCGGACGGAUUUGAGUGAGAGCAUAUAGGGUUGGACCCGAAAGAAGAUGAACUAUGCGUGUGUAGGGUGAAGCCAGAGGAAACUUUGGUGGAGGCUCGCAGCGGUUCUGACGUGCAAAUCGA
rnacentral:misc_RNA from 1 species